GGGUUGGAGAGGAGAUAUUUGCAGGUUUUUUAGAGGGGGGCUUGCUAGAGUUAGCAGACUCGUCCCCGGACGAAACAUCCUCUGAUGUAGGAACGCGUUUAAGUGUCUUCGCUGUUCCUUUAUUUGUUUUUUCAACCAGAGGGGAGUCAUCAUCAGAGAUCUCCAUAUCUGGAGAUCCUCCCCCUCCUUCUGCCAUUCUGUAAUUGGUACUUAUAAUCACAAUGCACCCAGUGCUGAUGAACUGGCAACCGCUGCUUGCUUCUCAAUCGGAGCGCUUGAGCGCUCGGCACUAUCACACACCACUAAGAAGUGAUGCUCUCCUUCACACUGCUGUAAGUGAACAGCGAAUCGCGCUGGUAUUGUGUGCGUGCAACUGAGCACCGAUGUCCGACUUCGAUUGCGAUGGCGACAAAUCGGCGAAAACUGAAAGCCGGCUGGCCUUGCCAGGCUUUGAUGAUUCUGCUUUUCUCACUAAUUCCGAGUUCACACUGCGUUUUACGAUAUCUCGAACAGUUCUAAAACGCGCGAAAAAAGCACACCCGGGCGAUAAAAAAAAAUAACAGCCAACGGUAACCGAAAACAAUGCUUUAACGGAGACGCUCACAGCACAUGACCGGUUACUCGAAGCUUAUGCCGAAGAAUGACAAUCUACUUAUCAUCGAUCAGAAUACGUUCGAGUUGCUACAUGCACAUCAAUUCAUGCAAACGGAGUAUACUAUGUCACUGAUUUCGGCGAAGUUGGGUAACGACUCGAAUACUUAUUGCAUCGUCGGCACAGCACUGGUACAUCAAGUGGAACCGGAACCCAAAGUAGGAAGGAUUAUCAUCUAUCACUACGCGGAUGGAGCCCUCACUCAAGUUAGCGAGAAGGGAAUCAAGGGCGCGUGCUAUUCUCUCAUUGAGUUUAACCGUCGUGUAUUAGCUAGCAUCAAUUCAACUGUACGAUCGUAACCAUUUCAUUAACGUGUUGGCAUUAUAUUGUAAAACCAAGGGCGAUUGAUUUGAUGCGAUCUGUCACGCUGGAGGUAAUUUUGAGGAGAUCGCUCGCGACUAUUAACCAAAUUGGAUGACAGUGAUUUCCUCGAGCGGAUAACAGAACAAUCUAUUUGUUUGCCUAAAAGAUGGCCGCAGCAACGGACGACGAACGAUAGCAAGUACCAAAGGUUGCUCAAUGCGAUCUCGGUGAUGUGGUCAAUGUAUUCCACCACGGUUCGCUCGUGAUGCAAAACUUUGGUGAGCGAACGACGGCGACAACGAGUUGUGUGCUAUUUGGCAUAGUCAGCGAUGCAAUUGGGAAAUUUGACUGACACAAUCAAAUCUGUUGAAAAUUGCAGAUCGACGUGGAUGGAACUAAGAAGGAAGCGGCCGUACAUGAUAUAAUCAAGAUUAUAGAAGACCUAGCAUGGAUACAUCAGGAUGUCCAGUGUUGAUCAUUAAUAUUGAAUGGAUGCUAUCAGUUGUUUUCUGGUUGACAAAACGAGAAGUUACAAAUUUUUCUAAAAAAGUUGAUUAAUAAAUCAACUCAUUCAAAGAGAUGUUCGAACUGGCUGCUGGACGAAGAUCGAGCAAGCUCAUGAAUUUCAGCAAUGGUCGCGAAAAAUAAUUUCAUG